ACAGAAUGCUUGGGCAGGCAGCGGCUGGUGGCAAGGGCGAGGCUAGGAACCUGCCGGCCCCGACACGGGCUGGACGCAGCGCUGGAGUCAGCCGGGACCGCUGCUAUGGGUGAAUGUGCAGUCAUGCGAGGUACGGGGGAAAGGGUGCACAAUGCUGCAGGGGGAGCUUCACAGAGAUAUUUGUCGAGCAAUUCCAGCGGUCGCUUUUCCGACGGGGGGCCCUCCGCCUGCGAGGUAUGCAUGUAUGGAUAUGGCACAUGCUAACAGGCAGCAAGCGACUGCUGGGCUUGAUAGGACGCGUUGCUGCAAUACAGGGCUUCGCAUUGCAUGGCCGACUCUUCACGAGUGAGCCGCUUGGGCCGGGAAAGGAGACAGAGACAUAAGGUUGAAGGGUGAACACCGGUGACAGAGAUGCGCGAACUGGGCUAGCGCCCGAGCAAGGGCGUCUACACGCCGCACGAAGCUUGUGCGAGUUCCUCCUCCACGGCAGUACCUCGGGCCUGCUCAGGCCUGCUCACGCCAACCGCACACGCACUCAGGCACUGCUUAAUGCAGCACCCUCUGUGACCCUGGCAACUGCAAACGAUUAGUAAGACACCACGUUGUGCGCCACAGUUGUGCACGACCAGGCAGUCCUGUAAAGCCCAGGCGCGGACUUCCGGCCACGCAAAAUAUCUUCGCCUCGGGCCUCAAAUUCCGGCGGUUUUGGUCCUGGACCCGCCAGGACCUUUAAACCCUGUGGCCCCAAAUACUCAGACAGGGCAUCCCUUCACAACUUAUCAGUGUUACAAGGUUUUGUGCGCAAAUAACUGGUAUGUUGCACUUGCCCAAAUGAAGCAAAUGCUCAGGGCGGAACUGCCCGAUCCGCGCAACUGCCGCUGCCGCUGCGCAGCCGCUGGCCCGCCAAGCAAGCCCAGUGGCGCUCCACGCGGCAGAACGGCACAGCUCAGCUCAACCCUUAGAGCAACGCUCGGAUGCCCACCCGACAACCAAGCCGUUGUCAGCAGCGCAUCCCACCCUCCUCCUGCCAGACCUGACCACCAACUUGCAGUUUCUCCGUGCCUAGCCCUCCUAAACCCGCAUCUACCUCUUAUCGAUCCCCGCCGUGCAUCACUCGCUGCCUGCCACCCAUCAUCCUCCACCCGCCAGUGUCGCCAGUCGCCCGGAGGCCCUGGCCGCCGGCCACACAGGCCGUUGCCGUUGCCGUUGCAGCCACAGCCGCCUCGCCGCCUCGUCCGGCCCACUCAGCACGCCCCUGCCGCUCCACUCCCGUUGUCAUUUCCCAGCCUUGGCCUGGCGGCCUCGGCCUCA
rnacentral:lncRNA from 1 species